CCUACGGGAGGCAGCAGUGGGGAAUAUUGGACAAUGGGGGCAACCCUGAUCCAGCAAUGCCGCGUGUGUGAGGAAGGCCUGAGGGUUGUAAAGCACUUUCAGUGGGGAGGAGGAUACUUAGGUUAAGAGCUAGAGUAUUGGACGUUACCCACAGAAGAAGCACCGGCUAACUCCGUGCCAGCAGCCGCGGUAAUACGGAGGGUGCGAGCGUUAAUCGGAAUUACUGGGCGUAAAGGGUGCGUAGGUGGUUGAUUAAGUUAUCUGUGAAAUCCCCGGGCUCAACCUGGGCAGGUCAGAUAAUACUGAUUGACUCGAGUAUAGGAGAGGGUAGUGGAAUUUCCGGUGUAGCGGUGAAAUGCGUAGAGAUCGGAAGGAACACCAGUGGCGAAGGCGGCUACCUGGCCUAAUACUGACACUGAGGCACGAAAGCGUGGGGAGCAAACAGGAUUUAGAUACCCUGGUAGUCCCGACGCUGUAACGAUAGUCUACUACGACUGUUGGUUAGUUAUAGUAAUAAUAAUUAAGUUAGGUCGGCGAGACGAACGACGAGUAAGUUAGUACCGCCGUCGGGGUAGGUACGGUCGGCGAAGAAGUUAAACGUAACGAAGUAGUAAGUUAGUACGGACGUGAGACGUAGACCGACGGACGACGACGAGGGAGGUUAGGGAG
rnacentral:rRNA from 1 species